ensembl:lncRNA
CUAAAACCAGCUUUGAUAGUUUGCCUCUGGACAAGGAUGAAUUUGUGGUAGGGAAAUACAGAUGCUGUUAAUAUGUAGAGAAUGCCUGCUUACAAUUGAAGAUUUCAAGUUGGGGACUGGAUUAUGGUAAUUCUAGACAGGACAGAUGAGAUUGAAUGGAAAAAGGUCAACAUGUGUUGGUUCAUAAGCAGCAUAGCAGCACAACGUGCCAGAACACUGACACCACACAGAUGAAGAGUGAAAAACAGAGACAGCUUCCCAGAGAAACGGAUUUCUUCAGAGACUCAUUAGGAAAGGAUGAGGCAUGACCC